UGAAGAGAUUGGCUAUUUCAACCACAGGCUGCUACUGACCACUUGAAAGAGUGAAACCGGCCAUUAUGACCUCCUGCUGAUGUGGACCACCUGAAGAAGGAUGUCCAACUGAAAGAGAGGGACUCUGGCACCCAUGUCCUUACAGUUCCAAGUCCUUUAAUGGGAGUGGUACCCUCUUGUACCCUGGACCAGGUAGGUGUUACUCUUCCUUACUCUCCCAUCCCCUCAGAUGCGAAUCUUAUUUCUCCUCAGCCAGCCAACCAGUCCCCACCAGCCACCAAUGAUGUGUGGGCAUUGUCAGACUGCCCUCUAACUCCUUCUCUUGGCUGUCAUUGGGAGCGUGUCUCUCUGUUGUGUCUGCCUGUCGCCUGUCAGUCAUUCCUGUGAUGAAUGGGAGCCAUUGAAGACUGCCGCUGCUGAGACUGAGAGAAAGCAUCAAAGUGCCAACUUGAGAAGUGUUGUCAAUAUUCUCACAAAGAGCCAUGAAAAACUAAAACAAAAAUGGAACAUUCCUAAAACCAAAAUCAAAACUAAAUGUAAACUAAGAUAUUACCCCCUUCACAUUCCAAUAUCAUAUUGAUGGGAAACUGGAUUUUUUUGCUUUCUUCUUACCCUCUCCCCAACGUAUUUUGUCCAAUGGUCACUUUCUCUUCCAAACCAAUUUUUCAGCAAACUUAUACUGAAUAAAGCCCUGAUUCAACUGUCUUCACCCCAGAGGAAAUAAUCAAUCCCAAUAUCAUAUACUAGUAGAAAGUGCUAUUUUUCUAGGGGGGAAAGUGCUGGAAAUCACAAUGAACAUCUCCCUUAUUCUCUUAUAAUGGCAAUGGUGCCCACCUGAGAGGUGCUGGAACUGAGUUCUGGUGAGUUCCUGCUGACAAAAAGCCCUGCUAGUAUAUUAUAUACAAGUUGAUGAGGCUGUAAGAAAGAAGCCUUUUUAGUACGGUUUUAACAAAGUUUAUCAUUGCUAUUACUAUCUUUUUCAUCAGUGAAAACAAAUUCCCAUGUAUAUUUUAGAAGUUAUUCUCUAUUUUCUUUAUAUUAUACAUGUUUAGAUAUGGAUAUUUCAAUGCUAACCUUUUGGAUGCCAAAAUCUGCUCCAAUCCACACAGGAAUUGGACUACCACUCUAUUGAGAAUAUGAAUACAUACACUGUGAAAAAACGAUAUAUAAUGAAUUUUGAUAUUCAUUUCUGUUGAUUUGGGUUACAUCAUUCCAGCGUUGGGACUUUGACUGAUAGCAUGACUCAGGCCAGAAUGAUUUUCUUAACAUAAUAGAUUUUAUUCCUUCUUUAUUCCCCAGGUGUUUGUUCUUGGAAGAGCCUGGGAGUGUUGUGGCCAAAACAAAUCAGGGUUAUUAAGAACGUGGUUUUUGGAUUAUCAUGAGAAAAAUCUAUAGCUAUAGCAAGUAAGUGGGCAGAUAUGGUUAAAUAAACUAUACUUAUUCCUAUAGUUUAUCAUUCAUGCAUAGUUUUAUGUACAUGCACAACGUUUCACCCCCACAGAAUAAUUCUUUUAGCUAAAUUGCUAAUGUUUCCAUUUUACAAUUGGGAAAAUGGGGUUUCCGGACCACACAAUAGGCCAGUGGCAUGGUGGAGACUUCAGCUCAGCCAAUCUAGUCCAGAUAUUUAUUUUCUGGAGCAUACUGGCUAAUUAUAGAUUGGCCCAUCUCAACAUGCGUGUUUCACUGAUGGCAAGAGGAGCUAGUCUAAAAUAUGUAUGCCUAAGUUUGUGGCCUAAAUCUGAUAGCAAAGAGAUUGUUGAUAACAAUACACCAUCAAUUAUAAAGCACAACCCGGUUUAUUAGAUACUCAAGGGAUUUUAAAGCAAUAAUUUGUUUUCAUGGAACUACACUGAAGCCAAAGUAAAUGUGGCCAUAAGGUGCUUCCAAAAACCAAGGUUCAAGCUUUGCUGCCAUGGUUAAACAACGGUCGUAAGAAAUCAAGCAACAGCCCAAGCUAUUUUGAGGGCUGAAGCAAUGACCAAAUGGUUCAACUCCCUUGCUAGGGCCAUUUAGAAAAGUCUUGCUAUACCAUUCAGAUACCAAUUCCUGCUUUCAUCAAUCCUCACCACCGCCCCAACCCAUGUAGCCUAGGAUUACCAGUCUUCCCCGGUUCCUGGGGAUAGUCCCCGGAUUUGCAAAUCUGUCCCCAGACAAAUUCCGUCCCGGGAAUGUCCCCAGAUUUGCAAAUCUGUCCCUGGGAAAUGUGGCAGUGGCAGCCUCAGCAGCCUGGAGCCAGCCUGGUAGCACAGUUGGCUCUGGCUGGCUUCAGGAGCUGCUUGCUGCCCACUGCCGCCGCCACUGCCAAGGAAGAACCAGGGGCAUCCAGCGAUACAGAUCUCCUGCCCCCUUCUCCCUUUCUUUUGACAGAUCAGGGAGGCUCGGGAGUUGUGGGCGGGCGGCCAUUGCCCAGGAGGGGCGCUAGGUGUGUGGUUUCUCUGCCAGGCAAGGGGCAAAGCCCUUCUUUCGCACCCUGUGAAACAUAAAUGCGCAGAGUUUUUUAAAAACUGGGCAACGGCCACCCACCCGCGACUCCCAAGCCUCCCCCGAUCAGUCAAAACAAAGGGGAAAGGGGGCAGGAGAUCGGGGGAGGCUCAGGAGUUAUGGGCGGGCAGUGCGCCGUUGCCCAGUUUUUUAAAAACUCAGAGCAUUUAUGUUUCACAGGGUGCGAGAGAAGGGCUUUGCACCUUUAUACAAUAUGAAUGUGUGCUUAGGCCCAAUCGGAAGCCACGGAAGUCCUGUCAGACGUUCGGCUUCCAAAAAUAAUUUGCAAACCGGAACAGUCACUUCCGGGUUUGUGGCGUUCGAGAGCCAAAGCGUUCGAGAACUAAGCUGUUUGAAAACCAAGGUAUGACUUUACUCAUAAUUACUGUCAGGUCAAUAACUUACAACUGAGUAGCCAGCUCUCCUUGCCUGUCUAGACUGUGUACCACACUAAUAAACCCCCAAGAAACUCAGUGCUACCUGGCAUGGAAAAAUCUCAUCUCACAACAGCACAGAAGACAACCUGCCUCCUUGCCACUCCUGGCAUCUUCCAUGGACAGAAAGAUGCUUUUACACUGGCAUUCAGUAUGCUUUGAAGACCCAAGGCUGUGGUGGUUUCAGAUGAUCACGUAAUAGAGAGCAAUCUUGAGCAGGCAGUCAUACUUCGCAGCACAGAUAGGGAUGUGAAAAAUCUUCAUUUAGGAAGGAUCGUUUUUAUUUAGCAAGAGACAGAAACCUCUGUCUCUGGUGCCACACAACAUUAAACAUACUCUGGUGAGUAUGCUUCUGAGCUGGACAGCCAAACAUCAAGCAAAAUGCUGUUGUAUUAUGGACAUCCAAUCCAUAGCUUGUGGCUGGCUGUCCUUAAAAGAGCUGUUUUAAGUCUUGCAAGAUUUGCAUGCAUGGAAAAAAUAGCAACAGUCAAAGAACACACACAUAUCAACAGCCACUGACCUCAACCUCAGUUUACUGGAUUGGGCAACUGAGUAAAGGAAAACACAGAAGCCUUUCUGUGAUUGGAGGAAAGCAGGGCAAAAAGUUAUCUUACGACUGUGAUAUUCGGCUUCCAGUGGACACAGAAACUUGACACGAAUCAAAUGCCCAACUGGCUGAUAAUAGACAGGAAGGAUUAGUGUUGACACAGCAGACCUGACCCCUUCCAGCCAUGUAACUGUGCCUGAAUACAGCUGUGUCUGCCUGAAAUCACCCCCCAGGCAUCUGAGCAGGGGAAGCAGUAGGUAAAGAUAUAGGGAACAGGGUGCGCUGGGACACUCUCACGCCUAAUUGGACUGACAGCUCAGUCUGCAAUGGCGGACAGUGUUUAUUUACUCAUUGUUGCGUGAUGAGCAAAUAGAAAGAUAUGCCGGCUUUAGUCCAUGCUGAUAUUGGUCCAAAUGCUGUCUGGCUCCAGACUCAGUAAACCAGGACAAUGCAGCACAAAAAACUUCCUAUUCGCCAUCACUUUUAAGUCUGUCCUGGCACAGAUAUGCAAUGACCUCAGAUCACAGUUGAGUCUAAUAAGGAAUUUAUCUUUAUGGAAAUGUGACCUCUUGCUACCAUAAGGCUACACAAAUACAAGUAACAAUGGCCGAACGCUGAUAAAAGUUUGCCCCGGCCAACUCCUGAUGUAUUUUCUAAAGAGUUCUAUAAUUCUAUAAUCCCUCUAGUGGAAAGAGUGGGACUUGAUAAAGGGUGCCGGUUGAAGCUUUUCACAAGGUUGUCACUGUCGGCCGUCCUCCCUCCCGCCCCACAACGACAACUAAAGAAUGUGCAAUGAGCACAAUCUAGUUCCCUUGAAGGGAGCGAGAGUUUAGCCAUUGACUCCAGGGGUCUAGUGAGCAUUUCUUCCCCGCUGUGCGACUGUGGUUCAAUUUCACUUUCCUUUUCUGAAACCAGAAGAUAUACCUCUUGACAAUCUAAAAUCGCCAAGGUCACAUGCAUGCACAGCAACAUACUUUUAGUGAAUUUUAAGUUGUAAAUGCCUUUCUCUCUCUUCCUUACCCAAAACAAGGGGGCCUGUGGGGUUGGGGUUUCUGUUCCGAUAUUAGAAGUUCAUACCACUAAUAUACUCAAGGUAUCCGCUCUUAAUCUUCAACUUCUCUGAGUUUUAUUGGCACUAGCUUUUAGUCCUGCUUUAAUAACUUCAGCCUUCUUUUGCCCCCAGCCAUAUUUUAAUGAAUAAAUAGUUUUUCUUGUGAUUUAGUUGCAUUUAUACAGCUGCCCCUGAAACAGCUGCACUGACUUUUAUUACAAGCAGAAAGGACUGCACCAUAAUCAGUAGUACGCGCAUGCAGAAUGGCUAGCAACGUUUUUGUGGAAUAUUUUCGAACAACAAAAUUGGGUGCUGCUGAAGUGUUUUUCUUUAAUCAUCUAGUCCAAAUAUAACAGAUUAAGCUACAGUCUUCAUAGAUAUUGAUCCAGAACCUCUCAGGACAGGAUCCUGAUUUUGACCUUGGAAGGGAGAUGCCAUAAUAAUUAGUCACUUUAACGAUUACAGCAGAUAUUGGCCAGGUGGAUGCCUAUGCAAUCUUCUACCACGGGCUGAAUCAUUCAGAGGAAGAGACUGAAUCUGAUGUAGUGGUAUAUUAUUAAGGAAUCAGGUCAUGUAGUUUCAUGCUCAGUUUUGGAUAGAAAUGUGCUUAAUUAUUUCAUUCAUAUCCCACAUUUUUUCCCACAGAGCUGAAGUGUUUCCAGGUAGUUUUCCAUUGAGGCAGACACCGAAAGUCUCUAGACUUUCCGAGCACAAUUCAAAGUGUUGGUGCUGACCUUUAAAGCCCUAAAUGGCCUCGGUCCUGUAUACCUGAAGGAGUGUCUCCACCCCCAUCGUUCAGCCCAGACACUGAGAUCCAGCGCCGAGGGCCUUCUGGCAGUUCCCUCAUUGCGAGAAGUAAGGUUACAGGGAACCAGACAGAGGGCCUUCUCGGUAGUGGCGCCCACCCCAUGGAACACCCUCCCUUCAGAUGUGAAGGAAAUAAGCAGCUAUCCUAUCUUUAAAAGACAUCUGAAGGCAGCCCUGUUCAGGGAAGUUUUUAAUAUUUAACGCUGUACUGUUUUUAACACUUGAUUGGGAGCUGCCCAGAGUGGCUGGGGAAACUCAGCCAGAUGGGCGGGGUAUAAAUAAAUUAUUAUUAUUAUUAUUAUUAUUAUUAUUAUUAUUAUUAUUAUUGACGUGUUUAGUUUCUGCUGCAUCGUGUGCCUUCACACCAUGCUUUUAAAAAAAAUGAAAUUGAAGAGAAUUUGUGAGGGAUUGAAUGCAAACCUAAACCAAAAUACUAGGGCAGGCUUAGGCAAACUCGGUCCUCCAGAUGUUUUGGGACUACAAUUCCCAUCAUCCCUGACCACUGGUCCUGUUAGCUAGGGAUGAUGGGAGUUGUAGUCCCAAAAUAUCUGGAGGGCCAAGUUUGCCUAUGCCUGUACUAGGGAGUAAGUCCCAUUCAACUUAGUGGAACUAACUUCUCUGAGUAAAGGUACUGCAUGUGUCCAUUAAAGCAGAAGGGAGAACCUGCCAUUCUCCAGAUGUGCUGCAGUACAGCUUCCAUCAUCUCUAACCAGUGGCAACAACAACAGUAAUAACACAUAAAUUACUCACCCUUCACCCUAAGGUCCCCGGGUGAGUUACAUUAAGGCACAUUAUGAAAGAAAUCACAAAAUCACAAAAGUAAGGUGAGUCCUAAAUGUAUAUCGUAAUAACAACAGCAUCCGUAAAACCACAGGUUUCCUGUCUUAACAUUAAAGAAUUUCAAAGGUUAUUUGACAAAGAGGAAAAGAGACCAGUGGCGUAGCGUGGGGGGUGCAGGGGGGGCCUGCCGCACCGGGCGCAACAUCUGGGGGGGCGCGCUCGCACUCGCAGCUCUCUACCCCUACCUGGCUCACUCACUCUCUCUCACUGCAGUGCUGGCUGUGCGAAUCCGAUCCGAGCCGCUGGGUCGCCGCCCACUGUGGAGGGGGUGGGUGCCAGGCGUGUGGUGCGGAGAGAGAGCGAGGGACUAUCUGGGGGAGGGACAGUGCAGCGGCCGCCCAGCGCAGCGCUGAGCGCGGGGAGAGAACCACACCAGACCAGACCAGGCAGCAGCAAGAAGAAGCUGGCAGCGGCGGCAGGUUAGGGGUUAGGGGGCGCAAAUUACUUGCCUUGCCCCGGGUGCUGACAACCCACGCUACACCGCUGAAAGAGACUUAUAUGUUCAGCACCAUUUCAGUACUUAUUUCCCAAAACAGAUUCAGCAGCCAAACGAACCAGGAAAGAAGUGAUUCAAACUUCUGCAAAACUUGCAAUUCCAAAAGGAAACAAAAGUUGUACUCUGGAAGAUGUACAAAACCACUGUCCAGACUGGGAACUGGGCAAUGAGUCUGCCUGAGGCAGAUAAUAAGAUACAAGCCACUGAACUUCCACAUAUAUGUCUACUGGAAAGAGGCAACUCCAGGCACUAAACAAGGCUCUGGGGUUUCAAUAAAAUAUAUAUAUCUGAGGAUUCUGCUGACAAGUACAGUUCCCAAGGUUGAGUAAUCAAGUUCAUUGGGAAGACACAAGGUGACUUACAAUUGAAUCUCUUCUUCUGAUUAGAGGCAAGUCAGGAUGCUUUAAUGUCAGGGACGGGAAAAGAGAGUCCAAUGCUCCUUCAUACUGUGGGAGAUUAGCAGCCAAACCUAACAAAGGCAUAUUUUUGCUAGUUAGCACAAGAAGGCACUAAUUCCACAGAGCUGUAUCGCGGACAGGCAGGUACUUAGACCAUAGAAAUACAGUUGGUAGAGAGGGUCCUGUGUGAUGUCAUUUCCUCUCCUGUCCUCUCCUGGAAAGGAAGGAGCAUGUAGUAUUUUCUGCUUCUCCCUUCCUUUGAUUAGCGUUGGAUGCAGACAUGUCUCUGCUUGUUUCAGCUUUAGGCACUUAUACUGUAAAUAUAAGUACUUUGCCUGCAUAGUUUUUACUGCUACCUUUGCUGUGCACCAAUGCAUGAUAAUAAGUAAAUAAAUAUUUUCUUGUAAAAAAAUAAUAAUGAUCUUGUCGCCUUCAGAGACAAGAUCACUGGCACAGGAGUAUUGCUUCUGAGGGAGUUGGGGGUGGGGUGGGUGUUCCUAUCUUCAUUUUGUGAUCAUUGCAAGCAGCGACACAACUCCUCAAGGCUUUGCAAGUUGUUACAAGGAACAGACAUAAAACCCAGAUGUUUUCUGAGGCAAGCAAGGGUUGUUAAUCCAUCUCUAAUGGCUGGCCAGUGUUACAUCUUAUGAAUAGCGACAGUUGACUAGCAAGGCACAGCUAUUUCUUGAGGUAUAAAGUAUUAUUUCAUAUGCAGUGUGUUUCAUGUGCAGUUUUCAAUUCCUUUGGUUCAUGCAUGUCUUCCAAUGUGCAUGUCUACACUGACAAAGCACUGCAAAAAAGGGAAAGGAAAAAGAAGUAUUGGUGUAGGUUGCCAUAUUUCAUAAAGUUAAAAUCCAGACACACAAGAUGUUGACCUUUUUUCAGUGUUGCCCAAAACUGUGUUUUGCUUCGCCAAAAACUACUCUUCUGACAUGGGUUUCCCUGGACAUUGCAGAGAUUUCUGCCCAGACACUGUUUCCAACAGCUGGAUACCAGCUAUAUCUGGGAAAUUCCGGAUGUAUGGCAACCCUAGGUGUGGUCAUACAUAUUGUAAAUGGCAUUUCUGGGGGCUCCGUCACGGUGUCCCAUUGUGCCAGAAGCAGUUUAGGCAUGCUGGCCACAUGACCUGGAAAGCUGUCUGUGGACAAACGCUGACUCCCUUGGCCUGAAAGCAAGAUGAGCGCCACAACCCCAUAGUCACCUUUGACUGGACAACUGUCCAGGGGUCUUCUACCUUUUACCUUUACAUAUUGUUAUAGGAUUGAAACUGAGCUGGAAGUUGUCUCUGGCUGCCACGAGGGUUCCUGGGGCAAGGCGGCAGGUUUGGACACCAUUUGGACACCAAACACCAUUUUGAAUCAAGAUGACAGAGCAAUAUAUCAAUUUGGUGUGACUUUGCCCAUUUUUUUUACAUAAGUAUGGCUGCCUCUUGAGAUAUUGUCACCAAACAUGGCGCAAAAGUUCCAUUUAUGUUUGUAUGUGCCAUUUUGAAUUAAGCUGGUGGACCAAAAUGUGACAUUGGAUUGACUUCACCUUAUUUUGGCCAUGACAGGUCCAAACUCACAACCCAUUCAAAAAUCUCAAUAAUUUUUGGUUUCUAAAAAUAUCCAGGCAUUGCUGGACACUCCCUGUUAAUGUAUAAAUAAACCUUGCAUCACAGAAAAUGUUAUCCAUCUUUUUAUUCCUAC